GAAUCGUCGGAUUGGGAAACAAGCUGACAUGAAUGGAUAAACAAGUCGAUGGGAGGAAUGAAGGAGAACGAUCAACGCUGCGAUAGUGAUGGUUUGUGGAACAGAAAAGAAGAGAAAGAAAUAAGGUGGGUUUUGUGAUAAUGGUAAUUGCUUGAAGUUCAAAGUGAGAGAAGAACUUUUAUUAAGGGCCAUUUAAGCAAGAGUCAUUAAUGUUGGAG
rnacentral:misc_RNA from 1 species